AACGAACGCUGGCGGCAGGCCUAACACAUGCAAGUCGAACGGACGUAGCAAUACGUUAGUGGCGCACGGGAGAGUAACGCGUGGGAACCUACCUUUUGGUUCGGGAUAACAUCGGGAAACUGGUGCUAAUACCGGAUAAGCCCUUCGGGGGAAAGAUUUAUUGCCGAAAGAUGGGCCCGCGUUGGAUUAGCUAGUUGGUGAGGUAAUGGCUCACCAAGGCAACGAUCCAUAGCUGGUCUGAGAGGAUGAUCAGCCUCACUGGGACUGAGACACGGCCCAGACUCCUACGGGAGGCAGCAGUGGGGAAUAUUGGACAAUGGGGGAAACCCUGAUCCAGCCAUGCCGCGUGAAUGAUGAAGGCCUUCGGGUUGUAAAGUUCUUUUGGUGGGGACGAUGAUGACGGUACCCACAGAAUAAGCUCCGGCUAACUUCGUGCCAGCCGCCGCCGUAA
rnacentral:rRNA from 1 species